UAUAGAGGCCUCAAGCGUUAGGCGGAAUCACUGGGCUUAAAGCGCGUGUAGGCGGAUCGUUAAGUGUCUUGUGAAAUCCCACGGCUCAACCGUGGAACUGCUGGGCAUACUGGCGAUCUUGGGCCACUCAGGGGCAACCGGAACAAGCGGUGGAGCGGAUGAAAUGCGUAGAUAUCAGGAGGAACACCGGUGGCGAAGGCGGGUCUCUGGGCAGUAACUGACGCUGGAGGAGCGAAAGCGUGGGUAGCAAACAGG
rnacentral:rRNA from 1 species